CCCUUGAGCCGUUUCUAUCAUCUUAAAAACCUUACACACCUUAAGCUUCCUCUUCAUCACAAAAAACACCAUAGUAGCAACUCCUUCUCCAAAAAAACCAUCAGCCGCAACACACAAAGACCUAGAUAUAGCCACCUCCCCUAAUUCAUAUACACAUCUACCGCACCCCUACUUCGUUGGACCACGCCGAUGACCACUCUUAAACCCCCCAUAUCGAUCAGAUCUGGAUGAUUUGACAUGAAAGCUCCAUGUUUGGCCGAACUCCAACGAUCUCUCCUUGUUCUAUGCCGCAGCUACCUCAUUUAUUCGCACCGCUGCUUGUCGCUGUGGAAAUAGCGGUGUGUGUGUUCGAUUUUCUGAUUUUUGCCAGAAUUUCAGAUCCGGUUGUUUUUUUUUACUUUCCGGCGAGUUUCGAGGUAGAAGAGUCGAGGUCUGUCUGUGUUUCAUCGACUUUCGGCAAGUUCCGAAGUCGAAGUUCCAUUGGUCUUGGUCGCGUUUCCAUCAGACUCUGGAGCUGCAAAUCAGCUAAGCUCAGAUUCAUUUCUGGAGAGGCUUGUUUUUUGUUUGUUUUGGUUCUACUGUAAUCAGAUCUAGGUACUGCUACUCAGGCCUACCAUCUUUGAGGGAGGCGACUGCUUAGAGACUUCCAGGUACAUCUGUCGUGCCCGCAGACCGAGAAGUCCCUUUCUAUUCCUGCUUUUAGUAUUUAGCCUUUUUGUAUUUCCCCUCUUAUUAGACAUUCUGGAGUUAGAGUUAUGUAAUAUUUUUCUUAGCUUGUGAUUCGUGAGUUUCCGGGUCUUGGAUCUAUGUAUUGGUAUUGAGAGUUAAACAUGGUGUAUAUCGAGCAACACCUUUAAAACAUUGUUAUUACUUUAGUUCUGUUUUAAACUAUUUUACUUCCACAAAUUUGGUUUUUCUUCCGCAACUUAGGCUUACCUAGUCGUAGAUACUAGGUGUCAUCAUGAUGGUUCACAGAGGGCGAACCGGGGUCAUGACAAGUUGAUAUUAUAUCUCUAGGUUCACAGGAGUCAUGGAUCACAAGCCGAUUUAUUAGAGUCCCGCUGAUCGGUACGGAGACGUUUGUACUUAUCUACGAGAGACUAUAUGGUAAGGACACGUGCUACCUAAGAUGAUCAGGCACCCGCGCCCCUACUGUAGCCGUUAGAGGCUGCAACCAGGGUAGAGGACACGGGCGGGGUAGAGGCCGAGGAUGCGCACGUGGUGCAGAAAGAGCACCUGCGCGAGCUACCACCAAGGUACCACCAGUAGUUCUAGCCGGAGUCCAGGCACCUGACACGCCUACUGCUACUACUACUCCAGCUUUUCAGGAGACUGACACAGUUCAUGAGCAUGUACACCAUUUUGGCUCAGGCAGGGUUGCAUCCCCUUACUGCAGCUGCAUCUCAGGAAGGGGGAGGAGCACAGACUCCCGCCACCCGCACUCCUGAGCAGCGAGUGCAUGUUGAGCAGGUCCCUGAGA